rnacentral:pre_miRNA from 1 species
UUCUGUUGUCCUUCAUUCCACCGGAGUCUGUCUCUACUAACCAGAUUUCAGUGGAGUGAAGCACAAGAGGCA